rnacentral:rRNA from 1 species
GAUGAACGCUGGCGGCGUGCCUAAUACAUGCAAGUCGAGCGAAGCGGGGACGGGGGAGUAACACGUGUGUAACCCCCUAUAAGGCUGGGAUAACUUCCGGAAACCGGAGCUUAACCGGAAACUUAUAGAUGAUUCCGCACUGCAUUAGCUAGUUGGUAAGGUAACGGCUUACCAGGGCAACGAUGCAUAGCCGACCUGAGAGGGUGAUCGGCCACACUGGAACUGAGAAACGGUCCAGACUCCUACGGGAGGCAGCAGUAGGGAAUCUUGCGCAAUGGGCGAAAGCCUGACGGAGCCACGCCGCGUGUGUGAUGAAGGUCUUCGGAUUGUAAAACUCUUUUAUUAGGGAAGCGGUACCCAAUCAGAAAGCACCGGCUAACUACGUGCCAGCAGCCGCGGUAAUUC